rnacentral:rRNA from 1 species
AGCCACAGCCAUAUCACCCUGCAGCCCAAGACUGGUUGCCCACUGAAGCUAAGCAGGGUUGAGACUGGUCAGUACCUGGAUGGGAGACCUCCUUGAAAAAACUAGGUUGCUGUUGGAA